AUUGAACGCUGGCGGCAGGCUUAACACAUGCAAGUCGAGCGGGGGAAGGUAGCUUGCUACCGGACCUAGCGGCGGACGGGUGAGUAAUGCUUAGGAAUCUGCCUAUUAGUGGGGGACAACAUCUCGAAGGGGAUGCUAAUACCGCAUACGUCCUACGGGAGAAAGCAGGGGAUCUUCGGACCAUGCGCUAAUAGAUGAGCCUAAGUCGGAUUAGCUAGUUGGUGGGGUAAAGGCCUACCAAGGCGACGAUCUGUAGCGGGUCUGAGAGGAUGAUCGGCCACACUGGGACUGAGACACGGGCCAGACUCCUACGGGAGGCAGCAGUGGGGAAUAUUGGACAAUGGGGGGAACCCUGAUCCAGCCAUGCCGCGUGUGUGAAGAAGGCCUUAUGGUUGUAAAGCACUUUAAGCGAGGAGGAGGCUACUUUAGUUAAUACCUAGAGAUAGUGGACGUUACUCGCAGAAUAAGCACCGGCUAACUCUGUGCCAGCCGCCGCCGUAA
rnacentral:rRNA from 1 species